AGCGAACGCUAGCGGCAGGCUUAACACAUGCAAGUCGAGCGGGAUGAUUUCGGUCAUCCAGCGGCGCACGGGUGAGUAACACGUAGGUAACGUACCCUUUGGUGAGGAACAACCCAGGGAAACCUGGGCUAAUGCCACCUAUGUCCUUCGGGAUGAAAGUCGAAAGACGCCAGGGGAUCGGCCUGCGGCCCAUUAUCUAAUCCUAGUUGGUAAGGUAACGGCUUACCAAGGGUACGAUGGGUAGCUGGUCUGAGAGGAUGAUCAGCCACACUGGGACUGAGACACGGCCCAGACUCCUACGGGAGGCAGCAGUGGGGAAUAUUGCGCAAUGGGCGAAAGCCUGACGCAGCCAUGCCGCGUGAGUGAUGAAGGCCCUCGGGUCGUAAAGCUCUGUCGGGAGGGACGAAGGUGGCAACACUCUGACGUACUUGCAAGAAGCACCGGCU
rnacentral:rRNA from 1 species